CGGGACACGUGGUAUCCUGUCUGAAUAUGGGGGGACCAUCCUCCAAGGCUAAAUACUCCUGACUGACCGAUAGUGAACCAGUACCGUGAGGGAAAGGCGAAAAGAACCCCGGCGAGGGGAGUGAAAAAGAACCUGAAACCGUGUACGUACAAGCAGUGGGAGCACGCUUAGGCGUGUGACUGCGUACCUUUUGUAUAAUGGGUCAGCGACUUAUAUUCUGUAGCAAGGUUAACCGAAUAGGGGAGCCGAAGGGAAACCGAGUCUUAACUGGGCGUUAAGUUGCAGGGUAUAGACCCGAAACCCGGUGAUCUAGCCAUGGGCAGGUUGAAGGUUGGGUAACACUAACUGGAGGACCGAACCGACUAAUGUUGAAAAAUUAGCGGAUGACUUGUGGCUGGGGGUGAAAGGCCAAUCAAACCGGGAGAUAGCUGGUUCUCCCCGAAAGCUAUUUAGGUAGCGCCUCGUGAAUUCAUCUCCGGGGGUAGAGCACUGUUUCGGCAAGGGGGUCAUCCCGACUUACCAACCCGAUGCAAACUGCGAAUACCGGAGAAUGUUAUCACGGGAGACACACGGCGGGUGCUAACGUCCGUCGUGAAGAGGGAAACAACCCAGACCGCCAGCUAAGGUCCCAAAGUCAUGGUUAAGUGGGAAACGAUGUGGGAAGGCCCAGACAGCCAGGAUGUUGGCUUAGAAGCAGCCAUCAUUUAAAGAAAGCGUAAUAGCUCACUGGUCGAGUCGGCCUGCGCGGAAGAUGUAACGGGGCUAAACCAUGCACCGAAGCUGCGGCAGCGACGCUGAUGCGUUGUUGGGUAGGGGAGCGUUCUGUAAGCCUGUGAAGGUGUGCUGUGAGGCAUGCUGGAGGUAUCAGAAGUGCGAAUGCUGACAUAAGUAACGAUAAAGCGGGUGAAAAGCCCGCUCGCCGGAAGACCAAGGGUUCCUGUCCAACGUUAAUCGGGGCAGGGUGAGUCGACCCCUAAGGCGAGGCCGAAAGGCGUAGUCGAUGGGAAACAGGUUAAUAUUCCUGUACUUGGUGUUACUGCGAAGGGGGGACGGAGAAGGCUAUGUUGGCCGGGCGACGGUUGUCCCGGUUUAAGCGUGUAGGCUGGUUUUCCAGGCAAAUCCGGAAAAUCAAGGCUGAGGCGUGAUGACGAGGCACUACGGUGCUGAAGCAACAAAUGCCCUGCUUCCAGGAAAAGCCUCUAAGCAUCAGGUAACAUCAAAUCGUACCCCAAACCGACACAGGUGGUCAGGUAGAGAAUACCAAGGCGCUUGAGAGAACUCGGGUGAAGGAACUAGGCAAAAUGGUGCCGUAACUUCGGGAGAAGGCACGCUGAUAUGUAGGUGAAGCGACUUGCUCGUGGAGCUGAAAUCAGUCGAAGAUACCAGCUGGCUGCAACUGUUUAUUAAAAACACAGCACUGUGCAAACACGAAAGUGGACGUAUACGGUGUGACGCCUGCCCGGUGCCGGAAGGUUAAUUGAUGGGGUCAGCGCAAGCGAAGCUCUUGAUCGAAGCCCCGGUAAACGGCGGCCGUAACUAUAACGGUCCUAAGGUAGCGAAAUUCCUUGUCGGGUAAGUUCCGACCUGCACGAAUGGCGUAAUGAUGGCCAGGCUGUCUCCACCCGAGACUCAGUGAAAUUGAACUC
rnacentral:rRNA from 1 species